ACGACCGACCCCGAAAACGAUCAACACGAAACAGCAGAACACAACACAUAGCAGCGAAAGGGGGGUUAGUAUUGCAACCACACUGGUGGUGAUCGAUUCAUGCAUAAAAUAUCUGAUGAUGGCUGAAGUUGAGUAGGCCGAAACGUUAUGUAUAAUCGAGUUUUAGUGUGUGUUUUCACCGAAAAUAGUCAACAAUCGUAAUAUAUAAGA